GAGUUUGAUCCUGGCUCAGGACGAACGCUGGCGGCGUGCUUAACACAUGCAAGUCGAACGCUGAACCCCGCUUGCGGGGGGAUGAGUGGCGAACGGGUGAGUAACACGUGGGCAACCUGCCCCCGGCUCUGGGAUAACUCCAAGAAAUUGGGGCUAAUACCGGAUGUUCACCGGCUACCGCAUGGUGGUGGGUGGAAAGGGUUUCCGGGCUGGGGAUGGGCCCGCGGCCUAUCAGCCUUGGUUGGUGGGGUAGUUGGCCUUACCAAAGCCACGACGGGUAGCCGGCCUGGAGAGGGUGACCGGGCCCACACUGGGGACUGAGACACCGGCCCCAGACUCCUACCGGGAGGGCAGCCAGUGGGGAAUAUUGCCCAAUGGGCGGAAACCUGACGCAGCGACCCCGCGUGGGGGAUGACGGCCUUCGGGUUGUAAACCUCUUUCAGCAGGGACGAAGCCGCGAGGUGACGGUACCUGCAGAAGAAGCACCGGCCAACUACGUGCCAGCAGCCGCGGUAAUACGUAGGGUGCAAGCGUUGUCCGGAAUUAUUGGGCGUAAAGAGCUCGUAGGCGGUUCGUCGCGUCGGCUGUGAAAACCCGGAGCUCAACUCCGGGCCUGCAGUCGAUACGGGCGGACUUGAGUUCGGCAGGGGAGACUGGAAUUCCUGGUGUAGCGGUGAAAUGCGCAGAUAUCAGGAGGAACACCGGUGGCGAAGGCGGGUCUCUGGGCCGAUACUGACGCUGAGGAGCGAAAGCGUGGGGAGCGAACAGGAUUAGAUACCCUGGUAGUCCACGCCGUAAACGUUGGGCGCUAGGUGUGGGGGCCAUUCCACGGUCUCCGUGCCGCAGCUAACGCAUUAAGCGCCCCGCCUGGGGAGUACGGCCGCAAGGCUAAAACUCAAAGGAAUUGACGGGGGCCCGCACAAGCGGCGGAGCAUGUUGCUUAAUUCGAUGCAACGCGAAGAACCUUACCUAGGCUUGACAUGCACGGGAAUCUCGCAGAGAUGCGGGGUGCCUUUGGCGUCGUGCACAGGUGGUGCAUGGUUGUCGUCAGCUCGUGUCGUGAGAUGUUGGGUUAAGUCCCGCAACGAGCGCAACCCUCGUUCCAUGUUGCCAGCACGUGAUGGUGGGGACUCAUGGGAGACUGCCGGGGUCAACUCGGAGGAAGGUGGGGAUGACGUCAAAUCAUCAUGCCCCUUAUGUCUAGGGCUGCAAACAUGCUACAAUGGCCGGUACAAAGGGCUGCGAUACCGCGAGGUGGAGCGAAUCCCAAAAAGCCGGUCUCAGUUCGGAUUGGGGUCUGCAACUCGACCCCAUGAAGUUGGAGUCGCUAGUAAUCGCAGAUCAGCAACGCUGCGGUGAAUACGUUCCCGGGCCUUGUACACACCGCCCGUCACGUCACGAAAGUCGGUAACGCCCGAAGCCGGUGGCCCAACCCCUCGUGGGAGGGAGCCGUCGAAGGCGGGAUCGGCGAUUGGGACGAAGUCGUAACAAGGUAGCCGUACCGGAAGGUGCGGCUGGAUCACCUCCU
rnacentral:rRNA from 1 species